rnacentral:tRNA from 1 species
UCCCUGGUAGCUCAGCUGGUAAAAAAUCUGCCUGUAAUGCAGAAGACCCCAGUUCAAUUCUGAGUCAGGAAG